GGGUGGGGCUGGCUCGAGGGAAGGGUGGAUGGGAGAAGGUCACUAUGUUAGCGCAUGGCGAGAUUUAUUUAUUCCUUUGGAUCAUUUCGGUUUCUCGUCGGAUGGCUUUGAUCCUGGACUCCUAAAAGUAUUUUUGAAAGACCCCCCCAUCCCCGUAUCGUCCUACUGCCUAACUCCUCGGAACUCUUCGAGGUUGCCCAAAACCAUUAGAUUUUUUUCUAGAACAGCCCCCUUCUCCGCCCUGGGAGAGCCGGGAGGAUGUGCAGCCCCAGUCCUCCAGCUCGUUGGCGCCUCCCGCGCAGAGCCUAGCGCGAUUCGCGCUCUCAUUACCACUACAAAGCGCGGGCCAGACCCAGCCCCUUUCUAAUGCACCGUUUUCGACUGAGAACAUCUUGGCAAGAAACUUCCAAGUCAGCCUGCAAAUGCAGACGCCUCCUGGGUCCUGACUUUAUCUCCAGGGAAAGUUCCAUUUUAAGAACCAGAUGCCAACAUUCCCGGACAGUUUAUGGCAUCCGGAUCCCUCAAGGGUGCUCAUCUGCAGUUGAGAGCGUUAGUAGCAGUUAUUUAUCGUCUGUCCCGGAGAGGAGUUCUUGGACAUAAAUGUUCUCUACUGGCCCUAAAGCCGGGGGCGGAGGCUGUGUGUUGUGGAGUGGGGGGCGGAGUGGGGGGGGGGGCAAAUGUUCCUAGUCCUGUUAUCUGGUUUAGCAACGUUUGUUGUGGUUUUCGAGGAAACGGCAUCUGGAUUACAUAAGGAUUCAAGUUUUUGCUGUACUUGUUUAUUUAAUACCUUGGCAAGAGGGAGCCCUUACCCUGAAACCAGAUAACCGAUUUUGGGUUUAAAACAGCUUUAGAUGAAGGGCAACGCGAGGGGAAGAAAAUGAGCAAAGCCACAAAAAGCAAACAAGGGGAUGUUUAUUUUUCCCUUUUUGGGUAUUUUUUGAAGACCUGCCUAAUCUCUUACACUUCUUGUUGCACACAGCUAGUAAAUGGCAUUAACAAAGCGUUUCACGGACUACAACGGCUCAACAGUGGCUCCUCCCCUUCGCUGCCACCAUCCGGGCCGUCAUUCCUUCCAGGAUUCCCGCGCGGUCCUGUGUGCCCAGAGCGCGAGUGCCAGGAUUCUGGGUGAAGAAUAUAGAAACUUUCCAUUUCAAAGAAAAAAGGGUGACACAACAGCCCUCUUUAAGGAGAGAGUAAACAUUCGAUUUAGUCACCAUGUAACAAAUCCAGACAUCUCUGAGAUCACCAUGCAGUGAGGAAGUCCAAGCUGGUGGCAUGAAGAGGCCACAUGGAAAGGGCUAAAGGAGGGGCCAGCCUCAGUCAUCCCAGCUGAGCACCCGACUGGGAGUAAAAGAGGACCCCAUGGAUGUCCAGCCCAGUAAGAUGACCUCAGCCCCAACUACCAACUGACCAUGCACACAAGGCAUUGGAACACCUGCACCCCUGGUUUGCAGUCUGUCCUUGGGCCAGCAAACUGCCAGUGUGAAGGAUGCCCAGGUAACCUGCCCACGUCAGAACAGCCAGGAGAUGGUGGAACCAAAAUCUAAGCCCACGCCCAUCUGACUUCAAAGUCUGUGCUCUUGAUGUUUGCACCGAGUCACCUCCUAAGACUUUCUGAAACUGGAUCAUAUCCAUUUAACUGUCUCUGAGAGAAAUCCAAGCUUUAAAAAAGGAAAUAUUUACUAUGGAUAUUUUACAAUGGUUCCAAAACAUGAAAGUUUUAAAUAGAAUAUUCUUAACAUCCUCACCACAUCUUCAGGUUCCCUUACAGCCACUAUGUUUUGAUGACUGCCUAUGGGAAAAAAAGACUAUGCUUUCUGUAGAUUUGAAAGGAAUGGUGGUGAGGUAGGGAUCAUUCCCUGAGCAUAUCCUGCCUGUGGGCACUCCUCUGAGCAUUGGGCCAGGCGAGGAGCCCAUGGUGUUGUUUACUUUGGGAUCCCAGCACUGCUAAUGGGAGUUGGGCUAUGAUCCAGGGAGAGAACUAGUGUUGUCUUAUUUGAAAAUGGAGAUGAUAGCAGUGCCCUCCUCAGUGUUAUUUUGAGCAUUUGAUGUAUCUCAGACAUAGUACCUGAAAAAAUGUAAGUGCUCAGUAAAUACGGUUGCCAGAUAAAAUGCAGGAAACCUAUUUAAAUUUAAGUUUUGGCUGGACAAUGAAUAGAAUAAUUUUUUUUUAGUAUGAGUAUGUCUUUAUAUUUUAUCUGCUAAAUUUAGCAACCUCCUCAGUAAAUGAUCACUACAAUUGCAAGAACUCCUUGUGACAGAUAUAGUAGAUCUGUAAAGAAAUAGGAACUUACAUUUAUUUUUACUAAGCUCUGACUGGUUAAGAUAACUGGGCAAGAGAAGAUAUCUUUGACUAAACCUGCAGAAUGUAGAGUAUAGAAAUUCUAAUUUGAAGUACUAUAGGACUAGAAUGGCCAGGGGUGAACUGUAGAGAGCUUAUCUAAAGAGUCCCAAUUUCAGAAGUUCCUCAGAGACUUAAAUGGGCCCACACACCCCUCCUGUGCCUUAGCAUAAGCCAGCUCAUUGUAUCAGUUAUAAAUUCAUUUCCAGAGAAAUGUACCCUGGAGGCCGUCUCCUGCUUGAAAUAGGACUGGCCAAUCCAGAUAUCCCCCAGGUGAUGUUGGCUCAAGUAUAUAGCUCCAUAAAUUGGAGAAUCUAUUCAAGACAACAAGCAAAAGUAUUUGUGACUGAGUUAGCUAAUGCCAGCUGGUAUCUUGAACAAAUCCAGAUCUCCAACCUGCCAGUUUAUUUCUUAGUCUGAAACUUGUGUUACUGAUUGACAGUGAGCUCUCAUUCAAGCAGUGACUUAGAGAUGCAAACUCUUGCCAUUUUAGUAGUUCCAUUGUAUUCAGUGUGUGGCGUCCAAGGUGCCUGGGAUCAUCUCCAUCAAGACUAAGGAAGAGGAAAGAGCUUGGAGAACCGCACUUGGGUGGUUUUUAUGGAUCAGGCAUGGAAUUGGCUUCAACACAUUAGCUCACAUUCCAUUGGUUAGAACCGGGUUUCUCAGCUGUUAGUACAGGGUUGGUGUAGGGUUUCGGCACCAUGAGCAUUUGAGCUUGCCAAAGGCUAAUCAGAGUUAGAACAAAGCCACAAAGGCUGUGAAUGUUUAUUGUUGUGAGGGGCUGUACUGUGCACUGUGGAAUGUUCAGCAGACUCACUAGAUUCUAAUAUAACUCUCUUCUCUCCUCCAGUUAUGACAACCACAGAUGUCUCCUCUUCAGACAUUACUAGAUGUCCCCUGGGAGGCAAAAUUUCCUGAUUGAGAACCACUGUGUUAGAACUUGGUCACAUGGCCACACCUAACCGCAAGGGAGGCUGGAAGAUCUAGACUAGUAGUAUGCCAGGAAGAAAAGAAAACUGAUUUAGAGGCUGCUGGCCAGUCUCUUUCACAGUGACCUUCAGCGUACUUAUUCUUUUGUAGCUAUGGGGAUACUCAUGCCUGUUUCUGAGCUGUUUCCUGUGUGAGGUGACAUAGUGAGAAUGGAAGGGGUGACAUGCUGGACGUGGGUGGGGUGAAGAGGAUUGGAAACCACCAUCAUGUUUGGCAGCAUUGAAUGUUUAUGACCAUUUGAAUAGUUGUGACAAGGAAACAGUGAAGGAGGAAAUAACCAUUUCUGAAUACCCUUUUGCAAUUUGCAAAGCACUUUUAAAGGUAAGAAUGAGUUCCUAGACCAUAUUGGGGUGAGAAUGGACAUUGUUGGCUGCCAUAUCAUUGGGAGGGGGCUUUGAGAUCUUUGUCUUAAAAAGGCAGAGCGGAUUUGGAGUAGAAGGAGAAAUGUAAAAAUCUGGUAUCUGAGUGUGUUUGCAGACAGGAAUUGUCAUUUGGAAGCACAAGAAAGGGAGGAUGGCCCAUUGGCAUAUAUGGUACAUUGUGUUUUCAUAUAAUUAUACAUGAAUGAAA